AAAUGGCACUGAGAUUGCUAGUGUAGCUCUGAAUUUACACAACUUGCCCUGGUGGACAGGGACUCUGCUCUUUACAUCAGGGAGUUCUCACGACAACUUGCUGUGCUGAAUGGAUCUGAAUCUGAGACACAGGAAAUUAGUCAUAGAGGCAACAGAUAUACUGGGCUUUGAGGAGAAGGAGAUCCUGGGUGGCUUCCUGCAGGAGGUUGAGUCUGGAAGCAUGGCUGAAAGACAAGCAGGGGCCUUUCUCUUUCCUCAGGUGAAGCAAAGAUGGUAUCUACUGUGCACAAGGUGGGAUGCCAGGUGCUAGGGAUAUCAGAGAGCACGUGUGCCUGGGAGCGCGGGGACCUGGCCGACCUGUCAGGUAUACCUACUGGAUCUGGAAAGGAGCGAUCCUCUGGCAGACCCGGGAGCCUGGUGCCAGUCCCCAGUCUGUGCUGCUUUGUCGGACUUUGCAAAAUAAGAGCCAUUUCCAGAACCCAGUCUUGAAAGAUGGGCGAAGCCUCAUGAAGGAUGGGUGUUUAGUCUCUGCUCUGGAAGGCAGAGGCAAUUUGAUUUAUGGAAUAGGAAACAGCCAGGAAAAAAAAAAAAAAGCAACCUGAAUAC